CCAGCUACACUGUUUCACUUCACGGACAAAGAAAUGUCUCCAUCUCUCAAAUUACUUUACUCAUGGUAUAUACAAACAGUGUGUGGAUGCAUCAGUGUGGAGUUACCAGAGGACAUUCAUGUUUCAACCACAAAGAGACAGAGCUCCAUAUUGGACAGAGUUCAUCAGCAAAGGGGACUCAUCAUGUUUGGUCAGUGUCUGCCUUGUCCUUCCAGGACAUCACCUAUCACUUCCGAGUCUCUCAAUCUGUAAGUAAAUUCAGUUUUCAAAUUCCAAGU